UACGGGGGGGGCAAGCGUUGUUCGGAAUUACUGGGCGUAAAGGGCUCGUAGGCGGCCAACUAAGUCAGACGUGAAAUCCCCAGGCUCAACCUGGGAACUGCGUCUGAUACUGGAUGGCUUGAAUCCGGGAGAGGGAUGCAGAAUUCCAGGUGUAGCGGUGAAAUGCGCAGAUAUCAGGAGGAACACCGAUGGCGAAGGCAGGUCUCUGGGCCGAUACUGACGCUGAGGAGCGAAAGCGUGGGGAGCGAACAGG
rnacentral:rRNA from 1 species